AGAAAGGAAAAUCUAAUAUUAAUGUAUAGACGCAUAUCACAGCGAAUCGAUAACUAUGUUUAUAUAAUGCUUUAACAAAGGUUCUCUCCUCUUCUCCAUGGAGUUCUCUUUCAAGAAAUUGAAAUUGGUAAUUCGCUUCUCUCUUCUUAAAAUUUUUAUGCGUAUAUAUAUCUGUAUAGUGCUUUAAUUAGUAGCAAUUGAUGUAUAAAUUAAACUUGAUUCAAUUGAUAUCUUUUAGCUAUUUAAUUUAUAUUAUUUCAUUACAUGUAGUUUCACAGCAAAAGAUUUAAUAAGAGAAUGAAGUGGUGCGGUCACUGUCUUAGACUUUGCAUGGUGACCCGUUGUGGUGGAUUCAUGUAAGUAAUUAUUAUUAUUUUUUAAGUAGUUAUAAAUUCGGUUAGUCUUUUUAAUUUACAUGACUGUUGUUGCUCGCUGUAGAUGCUGUUCAAUUUGUGGGAAGCUACUAGCAGAUUGGAGCACCGAGCAGAAAAAAUACAAGAUGAUGAUGAGGCGUAGAAGACAUAAAAAGAAACAGAAAUAGAUAGAUACUUACGUUGCAGAAUCAAGUUAACAUUUAGAAUAGACGUGUUCUUCCAACAACCAACAUAACGAUAGAUGUAUUAUAUAUGUAGUGUCCUCGUUUCAGUUUACACCAAUUAGGGUUAUCCAGAUCUAUUCUCUAAGCAUGGC
rnacentral:lncRNA from 1 species